AAUAUAAAUACAAGAAUACAUACAUAGAACCAAAAAUAAAUAAAUCAGUAGCUAGACUCAAGCUAGAAUCGAUAAAAUAUUUUUCUUUUGUACUAGCCGCUUGCAAAACUCAUCGGAAUCUCGUUGUGGUAGCGAAGUUGUCGUUCCUCUGCUCGUUCCUGUCCCGAUUCGCUGCCCGGAAAGAGGUAAAAAUCUUUCUCACGUUCUGUUUUGUUUGAUCUUUAGUUGUUGAGCUUUAUAUUUUCUCAAUUAUGUCUUGGUGUUUUCUUUAUGAUUGGAAUUGAGUGGAAUCUAUAAUGCUUAGCUGAAUUUCUUUUAGUUGAUUUUUUUACUGUUUGGUUGUUCUCCGAAGUAUGAAUGUAUAGUAUUUCGCUCCUUCUUUGGUCACUGUUAACCUUCCAUGGUUUUAUAAAUGUUGAACUUUUCCGUCCAUUCAGUUCAUCAUCUCGUUGUUCAUCAGAUUGUGUUCUUAAAGUCGGCUAAGCCUUGGCUUGGUAUGGCUUUGCUUUGUUUUCCAUUACUCCGAUUCGAGUUUUUCUUUGGUUCAACCUAAGUUCAUGAAUUGUUGUUUAAUAUUAUAUUGUUUUGCAACCACUUGCUAAUGUUCAACUUUGGAUCAAUUAGCUUAAUUUUCUCUAGAUAUGAUUUAUGUCUUCCGUGUCUAGACUUUAAAGCUUAUAUACAUGUGUUUCCCCUGUUAGUGUCAAUCCAUGAGUUGUUUAGUAACCAAGUGAUUCUUUAAUGCGAAUUUGUUCAUGUACUGAUCUAUAUUCCAGCAUAUGAUUUGUUCAAGUUUAAAUCUGUUGGUUUGUAGCUAAUUUCCUCCUUUGUUUGUAUAAGUUUAAUUUUUGCAUGAUUUAUUAAAAUUCUUUCCCUUUUAUGCUUAAAUUAUUUGGGCAAUGUGUUGACCACUCAAAAAUAAUUUUGGUUACUGCCUAUAUGUUUAAGUUUGCUGUUUUUUCUUAUAAGUUAAUUGGAUUCAGAAGUCUAAAGUUGAAUAUGCUCUUAACUUUGCUAAUUUAAUUCCUUUUGUUCUGCUGCAAAUGUCCUCCNNNN
rnacentral:lncRNA from 1 species